rnacentral:rRNA from 1 species
AGAGUUUGAUCAUGGCUCAGGACGAACGCUGGCGGCGUGCUUAACACAUGCAAGUCGAACGAGGCGCUUGCGCCUAGUGGCGAACGGGUGAGUAACACGUGAGCAACCUGCCCUUGGCUCUGGGAUAGCCUCCGGAAACGGGGAUUAAUACCGGACAUGACCUUUUCCUGCAUGGGGGAGGGUGGAAAGUUUUUCGGCCAGGGAGGGGCUCGCGGCCUAUCAGCUUGUUGGGGGGGUAACGGCCCACCAAGGCGACGACGGGUAGCCGGCCUGAGAGGGCGACCGGCCACACUGGGACUGAGACACGGCCCAGACUCCUACGGGAGGCAGCAGUGGGGAAUAUUGCACAAUGGGGGAAACCCUGAUGCAGCGACGCCGCGUGCGGGAUGAAGGCCUUCGGGUUGUAAACCGCUUUCAGCAGGGGCGAAUUCAGACGGUACCUGCAGAAGAAGCGCCGGCUAACUACGUGCCAGCAGCCGCGGUAAUACGUAGGGCGCAAGCGUUGUCCGGAAUUAUUGGGCGUAAAGAGCUCGUAGGCGGCCUGUUGCGUCCGCUGUGAAAUCCCAGGGCUUAACCCUGGGCCUGCAGUGGAUACGGGCAGGCUGGAGGCAGGCAGGGGAGAACGGAAUUCCCGGUGUAGCGGUGAAAUGCGCAGAUAUCGGGAGGAACACCGGUGGCGAAGGCGGUUCUCUGGGCCUGUUCUGACGCUGAGGAGCGAAAGCGUGGGGAGCAAACAGGAUUAGAUACCCCCGUAGUCC